UACGAAGGGGGCUAGCGUUGUUCGGAAUUACUGGGCGUAAAGCGCACGCAGGUGGCUGAGUCAGUCGAUUGUGAAAGCCCUGGGCUUAACCUGGGAAUUGCAGUCGAUACUACUCAGCUAGAGUAUGGGAGAGGGUAGUGGAAUUCCCGGUGUAGCGGUGAAAUGCGUAGAUAUCGGGAGGAACAUCAGUGGCGAAGGCGGCUACCUGGCCCAAUACUGACACUCAGGUGCGACAGCGUGGGGAGCAAACAGG
rnacentral:rRNA from 1 species